UGAUAUACUGUUUUUCGGAUUGGAGUUAACACUGCCUCGAUAUAAACUAAUAAAAGUACAUCACUAUUUUAUUAUGUUGUAUCUUUUUUUUGUAGGAAAACAUGUGCCCAAGGUGGAGAAAGCCAAGGCAUCUGAUGAUAAAGCUAAAGCUGCAAAACCAGUUUCUGCUGCAGCUAAGCCAAAGGUAGAGACUAAACCAUCUAGUGAUGAGGAGGACGAUAGUGAGGACGAAGAUGACUCGGAGGAGGAUGAGUCUGAAGAUGAGGUCUAAUCUCAAAACCAUUCUUUUCUUUCCUUGUUUAUCUGGAUUUUGUUGCAUAUAUAUACAAUUUUUCAAGUUUGUAAUUAUUUUUAUUUGUAUAUCCUUUAAUUUUUAAUGUUGAGCAAGUAGUUGAAACUUUAUACUCAGUACUGUCUAAGUUUAAUAUGUAUGGAAACAAGUAAUAUAUUUCACAGGGUUUCAAAGCUUUCUUUUUAGCUCAUUGCUGUCAGAAAUCAUUUGCACAAUAUCAUAUUGAAAUCAUUAAGUCUAUUAGCUUUUGAUUACGAACUGAGAUGUAUCACAGGCUUAAUAUAUUGCUGCGAAAUUGUUGAUCUUCUUAUUUUUAUCUUUGUCUUUGGGAAGUGGGGCUGUCUAAAAGAAGAAAAUGUGAUAGGUGUUUGACUGUUUUCAACAUUCAAAACUUUGCUCUGCCACCGUUUUUAACCUUUGAUCAUGAGUUGUGUGAUUUGGUUCUACAGUUGGGGUGUUUAAACAAAUCAUAUGGUUGUGUUUGUUGGGAUAUAUCUCCCAUUAUCUUUAGCCUCUGUACUUUAUCGUUUGUUUGUUCCCUGUUUUAUUUUUGUGCAGGAAUGAUUGUUGCUGCGGAUGUAACUGUUGCAUUUUCCAUCCAUUUGCUUUUAAUUUUUGCAGCUUUAUCAUUUGUGUUAUCUUGGCUUGUCUUGCAGGAUAUGCUUGAGGCUUCGGAUGACAGUGAUGAAGAUAGCUCUGAAGAGGAAGAGGAAGAGGAAGCUACACCUGAGAAUGUAUUAAACUGAUCACCUGUUGAUAGUUACUUGUUCUUUACUUCUUGUCCUUUAUUCUCUAAGUUAAUUUGCAUAAUUUUUCUG
rnacentral:lncRNA from 1 species